rnacentral:misc_RNA from 1 species
CCAACCACCUACAACUACAGUUCGAUACUACAGCCACAAUGGAGCCCACAAUGUCCCCUUCGCAGCAACAGGCAAGCAAGCCUACGCUCUACACCAUUCCAAACUACGACUUUGACGCCGACAAGCCUCAACUCAACUGGUCCUUGACUCAAACCAUUCUCGAGUACAUUGCUUCACCUUUCAGACGACAGAAGUAGGAUACAAUGAUGAAUGAAUACAACGAUCUUUGGUUAAUGAAUACGGUAAUGAAUCGAUAAUGAGUUGAUUAGUUAGAGUACAGUAAAGAGACAUGCUACGGGGUGUACAACUAAGACUGCCUAAACAAGUUUUGUUCUCUUCAGGUCAGGUAGGACAUUGUAUAGUCAAUCGCCUUAUAGGACUGCAAAAUGAAAUUUGAAAAGAUCAAAGUA